GAAAUCAUCCGAUGUUUUUUUUUACGGAAGUAGAAAAAAGUGUAAGUCGGGGGAAACACUAAAUACGUAAGUCUAUUAAGCAAGAGAAUCAAGGUUCCAAUCCUCAUUACUCUGUCUCUUUCAACGUGAACAAAAAACCCCAGCAUAGCACAGCAAACGGUCAAAUCGGUGACAAAGCCCUCCGCAAGUCCAGAAGAUGGUCUUUGACUGUUUCAAUAGACAUCCUCAAUCAUCUACAAAGGAAUGCAAUGAGUUUUCGAAAUCAAAUUUCUCCAGUCUGGUUGUAGGUGACAACGCUUACUGCCCGGGCGCAGGUCAGCAAAACGAGUCGGUUCGAAUGCCUCCCCAGUCCGAUUGGGUCAAUUUCAUGACCGCCACAUUCAGUUAAUUCCACGCAUUGCGCACCGCACGCCAUCAGCUCUAAUAAAUCAAGACAUUUUAGAAACUCUGCAAUGGUU